UCUUAUGUACAUGCCUACAGCAUAACAUUAAUGUGUCAAAUCCCAUUAGAAAUCCACAGUUAAGCGUGCUCGGGCUAGAGUAGUAAUGGGAUGAGUGACCACUCAGGAAAUCCUAGUGUUUCACAUGCC
rfam:Picea glauca, whole genome shotgun sequence.